ACCAUUUUGCCCUCCCACCUGCCAUAUGUGAAGUGCAAAUGCUGCAAGCCCAGUAAACAGAACGUAUUGUUCAAAUUUUGGAGUUUUCACCAAUCUGAUGGGUUUGUCUCCCUCAUGCUAACCUGAUGCUACGUGCCUUAGGGACAGGGAUCCUGCCUCUGGGCGCUUCGUGCAGUGCCUUGCACAUGAUGAGAGCCCAGAAACUUCACUAACACACAGCACAGGUCUGAAAAUAGAUCACCAGUCAUAAACUAAACAGGACCAAUGGCCACGAGCUGGAAAGCAGGAGAAAGACAUAGAAUUUGGAGCCAGCCAUGAGUAAAAAGCCAAACAGUCUGCUUAUUAGCCAUGGGAUGUUGGAGCCCUAGAGGUAUGAAGAUGUGGCCCUGCAACCACCGUGCUGGCAUCAACUGAAGGCAAAGGAGUCUCCAGGUGGGCAGAGUUCCAGCCCCCUAAACCCUCCUCCACUAGGGCCGCUCCCACUUUUGUUGAUUUUAUAUAUUUCAGUUCUGUGUAGAAUUGCCCCAUUAAAAAAAAACUAAAAACAUUUAAACUCGAAGUGUAGUACAGUGUUUUCGCAUUAUAUUUACCAUGGCAUACCUGUCUUAGUUACUAAAACUAAGUAUUUCUAUCAUGUAGAACAAAGACCCCAGUAUCAAAAGAACUAUGCUUGAUUUUAAUGGGUCAUUUGAAAAUCCUAUGUUAGUUGGGAAAACUAUUACCCUCCCCCACAAUAGACAACCAGAAAGUUAACUUUAUCAAAAAAAAAAUUCGAUAAAUAUCUAAUAAAUACCCAAAUCACAUACGUCAUAAUAUUUUGAAAGAAUAAAUGAGAUAAAAGCUGGAAAAUCUUUGCUAUAAAAACAUAGGGCAUUAUUAUUAUGUUUAUACUGUUCCAUCAUCUGUAUUUAAUUUGUACUCUCUUAUCUUUGCCAUGCUCACUGCGAUCUGGAGAUUA